rnacentral:rRNA from 1 species
ACUCCUACGGGAGGCAGCAGUGGGGAAUAUUGCACAAUGGGCGCAAGCCUGAUGCAGCAACGCCGUGUGAGUGAAGAAGGUUUUCGGAUCGUAAAACUCUGUCCUAAGGGAAGAAACAAAUGACGGUACCUUAGGAGGAAGCCCCGGCUAACUACGUGCCAGCAGCCGCGGUAAUACGUAGGGGGCAAGCGUUAUCCGGAAUCACUGGGCGUAAAGGGUGCGUAGGCGGCUUAGCAAGCCAGGGGUGAAAGGCAUUGGCUCAACCAAUGUAAGCCUUUGGAACUGUUAAGCUUGAGUGCAGGAGAGGUAAGUGGAAUUCCUAGUGUAGAGGUGAAAUUCGUAGAUAUUAGGAGGAACACCAGUGGCGAAGGCGACUUACUGGACUGUAACUGACGCUGAUGCACGAAAGCGUGGGUAGCGAACAGGAUUAGAUACCCU